rnacentral:lncRNA from 1 species
CUGUAUCAAGCUAGUGAACUAUCCAUACGAAUGUCUAUGUGAAGAACUGUCCACUCAGUGCAAAGAGUGGGUACAAAGCCCUUAAAGUAUAAACAUUGCCUGGAAUAUUUGAAAAACUGCAAGGGACUCAUAAUGGUUGGAGAAAAGUAAAUGAGGAACAAGUAUUUAGAGAUUUCCAAAAAGGUCAGAUCAUGCAUGGCAUUCUAACUUACAGGAAAACAAAGAACUUUGGCUUUUUAGUGCUAAGAGAAGCCACUGAAGCCACUAAAGUCAUGAGAGGAUUGAUAUGACAUGAAUUUUGUUUAAAAAGUACCACUGUGGCUGCUGUAUUUGGAAUAUAUUUAGGAGGACACAAACAAAACUAGAGAUAUCUGUUAGGAGCUAGUUGUAAGCAGGCAAGAAAGAGAUGAUGGUGAUUUUUUAGGGUAGUAGCAGUGUAGGUAAUAACUAGUGAAACCGUGAAUAUAUUUUGCCAAUAAAUUGGAUGAAGAAAGAGAAAAGGUAUCAAAAAUGACCUCGAGUUUUUUGGCUCACACAACUGAAAUAAUGAGGCUACCACUGAUGGAAAUGGAGCUGUUUCUUUUGAGGUGGAUGGACAGUAGGAGCAAUGUUUGUAACAUAUUAAGUUUCAGAUGCCUAUUAGACAUCACAGUUGUGAAGUAGACAGUUAUAUAUGAGGGUCUGAAGUUCAGGGUUAGAGGUCCAAGAUGGAGAUAUAAAUGUGAGAAACCUCAGAAUACAGAUGAUAUUUAAAAACCAUGAGAAUGGAUCAAAUAAUGAAACGAGUGUUGAAUAGAAAAGGUAGAAUAUAUAGAACAGAAUAGAGAAUAUAUUCUCUAUAUAGAAUACAGAAAUGGUACAGGAGAUGCCAACAUUUAGAGAAUGAGAAGGGACCAUCAAAAGUGGCUGAAGAUCCAGAAAAGUGGGAGGGAUACCAGGAGAGUGUGGUAUCCUGGGAGCCAAUGAUGAAGAGGUUUCUAGAAGGAGAUGGCAUAAACAAUGGCAAAGGAUGCUAAUAGGUCAACUGAGACAAAGCCUGAGAACAGACAAAGUAGCUUCAGUGAUGUCAUUGACGACCAUGACAAAGAGCAGAGUGGUGCAGUUGAAAAUCUACUCAGAUUGAGGUUGAGAGAAGAUACCUGGAUGGCCAGGGGAAGAUGCUCAUCAUCACUUAUCAUCAGGAAAAUGCAAAUCGAAACUACAAUGAUAUAUUACCUCGCACCUGUCAGAAUGGCUAAAAUCAACAACACAAGAAACAAGAGGUACUGACAAAGAUGUGGAGAAAGGGGAAACCUCUUACACUGUUGGUGGGAACGCAAAUUGGUGCAGCCACUCCGGAAAACAGUAGGGAGAUUCCUCAAAAAAUUGAAAAUAGAACUACCUUAUGAUCCAACAAUCAAUCACACUACUGAGUGUUUACCCAGAGAAUACAAGAACACUAAUUAAAAGGGAUACAUGCACCUUUAUGUUUAUAGCAGCAUUAUUUCCAAUGUCCAAGAUAUGGAAAUAGCUCAAGUAUCC